rnacentral:lncRNA from 1 species
AUCCUUUUGCAAUACACGUGGAGUCCUAAAAGUUAGAACAUAAAAACUAGAUGAAAAUAAGAAAAUCAUUGAGUUUGAUAUUUGCACUUACGGAUUUUUUAUAUGAACGUCUACAUUCAUUACGUAAAAGUUGAACUUAAAUGACAUUUGAGUUCAAGACCAAGCCUUCAAUUCCACUACUGAACAAGACUUUCAUUUAUCUUUUUAGACAAGUGUUAGGAUUCUGCAUUCCAUAUCCAUUGAUAAGAAGAAUAUCAGUGAUUGAGACACAUUUUUUAUUCAACAUGCUUCAAAGGCCAAGAUAUAAAUACUCGUUGGCAUGCAACGCAACCUUUUUACAGUGAACGUGGAGUCCUAAAAGUUAGAAGAUAAAAACUAGAUGAAAGUAAGAAAAUCAUCGAGUUCAUAAAAGUACUAAGUUCACUUUGCCUACAUUUGGCUUAUGUCCGAAACACACUAUCACUUUUUGCUCUCAAAAAGUACAAGUACUCUCCAAUUAUUUAUAACACCUUUCUAUUUAUUUAUAAUUUAAAGCCAAACUUUAAAAACAGUGGUCAUAUUUUCAAGUGGUCAAGUCGAAGUGAUUAUUUUCAACAAUUUUCUCAUAAUUAUUUUCCAAAAACACGAUAUUCAGAUUCAUUUUCACUUUAUUGAAAAUAAAAAUUGACCAGUAUUCCAAACUAAGCUCCCUCAGAACUUGAGAAUAUUUUCAACAUCAAAAUUUUCAGACAAGGCUGAAACAUGACAUUUUUCCCAUCGUAGAGAGCUUCAAAGAUGAAGAACAAAGCAAUCAAGUAACACUCACAAUGGUGAAUGAAUUCCAAUACAUACUACAUGAAUAUACAUGUUCUAUUAAGAAAUAUUGGACGACGACGAUAAUGAUGAUGAUAAAUUAAAUAAAUAAAUAAAAUUUAUGCAUAUGAACUAAUGUGUUUGUGUAUAAAUUGAAGGAAUCCAGAAGGAUCCAUUGGUUUAUUAAAAUCGAAGGACAAAUCCUCAUAGAAUAGGUCGUUUCAAACAUCACAGCCCAAACGCAACUAACCAAAACAUUUUAACUUUAAUAAUUCAUUAAGUUAGGUGAAAAUCUCUUUAAAAACAAAUAAAAAUGAAAAAUUGGUGUAGCUCAGAACUCGGAUAAAAAUCAUGUACUCGUUUCAUUUUACAAAAUUGUGUGCAGUGGGCUGGUAAGACAUCCUAUUCAAUUUAUACAUCAGUUAUAUCUCCCAGUGUAAUGUCCCAAAUUUCAAUAAUAUAUCCAGCGCGUUAACAAACGUGAGUUCUUUAAUGUAAAUCUGAUUAAAGAAAUUUUUUAAAUAAGAAUAUAUUUAAUCAAACUAUAUAAUCAUGAUAUAUCUAUUUUUUUUUUAACAUAUAAACUUAGAAAUAUUACGGAACAAAAUAAUUUUUAAAAAAAAGCAAGCUGAAACAGUUUUCUACGGUUCCGAAAUUAUUUGAUCUAGCAAAUCUUGAUGAAAAUUUAUAAAAUUUUACAUAAAGUAUAGAACUCAUAUAGGUACAACAUAUAAAAAUUUGGGAUCUCGACGAUUACGUUUGAAGCACGAAAUUAUUUUUCGAACAAGCUGGUCCAUGUUUCCCGAAUUUAACCGUCAUAGUAAACUAAAGCUGAUCAUUUUCCAAUUAAAAACAUGCUAAAAUUCUAAACAUACCGACCAUAGCACAAUUUUAAAAACAUUGACAAAAUUCUGAAAUUUACUAAAAACACACUUUCAAACAUUAAAAAAUUUCCUCCUAAAAACAUGAAUUUAAACUACAAUUUAUAGGACACCCAAUGAUUAUUAAACAUAAAAGUGACAAUCUAAAACAUAAGAAAUAAAUUUCUCUAAAAAAAAAGCACAUGCCAUUUAUGAUGAACCACCGCUAGAUCUCCGAUUACUCCGAAAGAUUAAAUAAGAGUGAGCAUUAUGUUGCCUUCAUAAAUAAGCAAAUCGAUGAUCAAAUGAUUUACUUUCUGAUGGGCCUCUGCAAUCAUCGGUUUAAACAAAUAUAAUCUUUCAUGCAUCAAAAUUUAAGAAAAACUAGCACUUCAUAUACUUCAUGAGCAAAUAUAACGAAUAACAUGUUUAAAUGAAAAUUUAAUUCAUAUAACAACAACUUCACGUAGGGAUCCUACCUUAAUUUGAAGUGAUAAGAUAGUAUCUACUUGAACGGAACACUCCAAAUCUCAAAUGUAAAAAUGCUUUCUUUAACGGGUUUGUCGUGUGUGCAUGUAUAUUAUCUAAAAUGUCUUGUAACCUAAUUUCAAUUGGAAUUCAUACGUAAACAGGAGUCUAAAACCGUUUAAAAUGAUAGAAUUUGAUUUUCAAGUAUUAGCACUGGGGAUAUGUAUUAGAUAUAUAUAUAUAUAUAUAUAUAAUCAAUCAAAAUAUCAAAUUCCAACUAUCUAGUGAUACUCGUGGCGCUAAAAUUUCAAUUGCUCAAAUAUAACUUCUUUUGAACUUCAAUAACUUAGCCUAGUUUAUCCGAAAUAACUUUUUCUCGAGUACAAAAUUCGUCAUUUAAUAUGAGUUUCGAAAUAAGCCCAAUAUCGAUAUAAAAUUUAUCGCUAGAUGAAUACUUGAUUAUCUGACCGAAAGCUAAAAUUUUGACACAAUGACUUAUUUUUAAACUAGUCCAUUGGUAUCUCAAUUAACAAAAUAUGUCAAGAUGAAAUAAAUGAAAAAUUACCUUCGAUUGCUACAUUUGGUACACACAUAGCAUCAUAUACAGGGAGAGGGUAAACCAGAUGCAAUAUUGACGUAUAAUUAAUACAUGAAAACCACACCAGAAAAUCGGAGAGAAACACAUCAUCAGGUAAAAAGAAAAGCCAGAUCGAAAUUAUUUGGAUCGAAGAAUUCGGUGAAGAUGAACGAAAGAAGUGUAUUAUGGAAGGCGGCUUAUGGAUUGUUUAAAUAGCGAUUUAUAGAGCUAGGUUUUGCUUUGAGUUAAUUUCCCAAAUCGCUAUGAAAUUUUAUACUUAAAA